AUUGACGAAGGGAUAAUAGUUCCAUGAUAAACGAACGAUUUUGGUUUUGUCAUACCACGUGACAUUUUCCAUCACAUGUAUUGCCCUGACAUAUUGCAAGAUGUCAAUCAGGGACGGCGAAUGUGAAUUGACGAUAAAUUAAAAUGGUGUAUUAAUUUAUCGAUUUUGAUUAGAUCAAAAUAAUAUUUCACGACGUUAGGCAUCGUGGUCGGGAACCUAAUGGGUCGCACACAAAAGAGAAUUGGAAGACUGCAAAUUGUUAAUUGAUUAAUUUAACAAUCGUUGGAUAAAUUAAUUAAUUGAAUUUCUUAUUUAUAAUCCCGAAUUAAUUAAUUGGAUUAAUUAAUUCACGGACCGGGUUUGAUUAAUUGGAUUAAUUAAAUAUUGGAC
rnacentral:lncRNA from 1 species